rnacentral:rRNA from 14 species
CUUGGCCUCGAUAGUGCGUCGUACCCACGCGAUCCCAUCUCGGACUCGGCCGUGAAACCAGACUGCGCCGAUGGUACUAACUGCUAAGCGUUGGAAGAGUAGGUCGCUGCCAAG